GGCUGUUCGCCCAUUAAAGCGGUACGCGAGCUGGGUUCAGAACGUCGUGAGACAGUUCGGUCCCUAUCCGUCGUGGGCGUAGGAAAUUUGAGAGGAGCUGUCCUUAGUACGAGAGGACCGGGAUGGACAUACCUCUGGUGUACCAGUUGUCGUGCCAACGGCAUAGCUGGGUAGCUAUGUGUGGACGGGAUAAGUGCUGAAAGCAUCUAAGCAUGAAGCCCCCCUCAAGAUGAGAUUUCCCAACUUCGGUUAUAAGAUCCCUCAAAGAUGAUGAGGUUAAUAGGUUCGAGGUGGAAGCAUGGUGACAUGUGGAGCUGACGAAUACUAAUCGAUCGAAGACUUAAUCAA
rnacentral:rRNA from 1 species